CAUAUACUCCCUUCGUUCGAAAUUACUUAUCAUGGAAAUGGAUAGAAAUGAAUAUAUUUAGAACUAAAAUACAUCUAGAUACAUCCAUUCCCGCGACAAGUAAUUCCGGACGGAGGGAGUAUAUA
rfam:Triticum aestivum genome assembly, contig: Triticum_aestivum_CS42_TGACv1_scaffold_030458_1BL